rnacentral:rRNA from 1 species
AUUGAACGCUGGCGGCAGGCCUAACACAUGCAAGUCGAGCGAGCGGCGGACGGGUGAGUAAUGUAUGGGGACUGCCCGAUAGAGGGGGAUAACUACUGGAAACGGUGGCUAAUACCGCAUAUUGUCGGAUAACCCAUAUGGGAUUAGGUAGUAGGUAAGGUAAUGGCUUACCUAGGCGACGAUCCCUAGCUGGUCUGCGAGGAUGAUCAGCCACACUGGGACUGAGACACGGCCCAGACUCCUACGGAGGCAGCAGUGGGGAAUAUUGCGCAAUGGGCGCAAGCCUGAUGCAGCAAUGCCGCGUGAGUGAUGACGGCCUUCGGGUUGUAAAGCUCUGUUAAUCGGGAGACGGUACCGGAAUAGAAAGCCACGGCUAACUACGUGCCAGCCGCCGCGGUAAUAC